rnacentral:tRNA from 1 species
CAAAGGAUAGUUUAAAAAUAAAACAUUAGUUUUGGAUAUUAAAUAUAAGAAAAUUUUCUUUCCUUUGA